GACGAACGCUGGCGGCGUGCUUAACACAUGCAAGUCGAACGGAAAGGCCCUGCUUUUGUGGGGUGCUCGAGUGGCGAACGGGUGAGUAACACGUGAGUAACCUGCCCUUGACUUUGGGAUAACUUCAGGAAACUGGGGCUAAUACCGGAUAGGAGCUCCUGCUGCAUGGUGGGGGUUGGAAAGUUUCGGCGGUUGGGGAUGGACUCGCGGCUUAUCAGCUUGUUGGUGGGGUAGUGGCUUACCAAGGCUUUGACGGGUAGCCGGCCUGAGAGGGUGACCGGACACAUUGGGACUGAGAUAGGGCCCAGCCUCCUACGGGAGGCAGCAGUGGGGAAUAUUGCACAAUGGGCGGAAGCCUGAUGCAGCAACGCCGCGUGCGGGAUGACGGCCUUCGGGUUGUAAACCGCUUUCGCCUGUGACGAAGCGGGAGUGACGGUAAUGGGUAAAGAAGCACCGGCUAACUACGUG
rnacentral:rRNA from 1 species